rnacentral:rRNA from 1 species
UACGAAGGGGGCUAGCGUUGCUCGGAAUUACUGGGCGUAAAGGGCGCGUAGGCGGGUCGUUAAGUUGGGGGUGAAAGCCCAGGGCUCAACCCUGGAAUUGCCUUCAAUACUGGCGACCUUGAGUAUGGCAGAGGUGUGUGGAACUCCGAGUGUAGAGGUGAAAUUCGUAGAUAUUCGGAAGAACACCAGUGGCGAAGGCGACACACUGGGCCAUUACUGACGCUGAGGCGCGAAAGCGUGGGGAGCAAACAGGG